rnacentral:rRNA from 1 species
UACGUAGGGGGCGGGCGUUGUCCGGAUUUAUUGGGCGUAAAGAGCUCGUAGGCGGCUUAGCAAGUCGGGUGUGAAAACUCCAGGCUCAACCUGGAGACGCCACUCGAGACUGCUAUGGCUAGAGUCCGGUAGGGGACCACGGAAUUCCUGGUGUAGCGGUGAAAUGCGCAGAUAUCAGGAGGAACACCGGUGGCGAAGGCGGUGGUCUGGGCCGGCACUGACGCUGAGGAGCGAAAGCGUGGGGAGCAAACAGG